rnacentral:rRNA from 1 species
AAAGGGGUACAAACGGUUUACGCCGUUUAGUGCAGCGGGUAACCGGUUAACCACUCCCCCUGGAGAGUAACGUCGCAAGACUGAAACUGAAAGGAAUUGACGGGGGCCCGCACAAGCGGUGGAGCAUGUGGUUUAAUUCGAAGCAACGCGAAAAACCUUACCAGGUCUUGACAUCCUCUGACAACUCUAGAGAUAGAGCGUUCCCCUUCGGGGGACAGAGUGACAGGUGGUGCAUGGUUGUCGUCAGCUCGUGUCGUGAGAUGUUGGGUUAAGUCCCGCAACGAGCGCAACCCUUGAUCUUAGUUGCCAGCAUUUAGUUGGGCACUCUAAGGUGACUGCCGGUGACAAACCGGAGGAAGGUGGGGAUGACCUCAAAUCAUCAUGCCCCUUAUGACCUGGGCUACACACGUGCUACAAUGGAUGGUACAAAGGGCUGCAAGACCGCGAGGUCAAGCCAAUCCCAUAAAACCAUUGUCAGUUCGGAUUGUACCCCCCCCCCUCGCCUACAUGAAACUGGAAUCGCUAGUAAUCGCGGAAUCAACAUGCCGCGGGGAAAACG